GGGUCAAUUAUGACAACCCAAUGUCAUGAAGAGAGGUGAUGACAUAAAUAUCAUGCUCAAAAGGAUUACACUGAGGCCU